AGAGUUUGAUCCUGGCUCAGGAUGAACGCUAGCGACAGGCUUAACACAUGCAAGUCGAGGGGCAGCGGUGGUGAAGGCUUGCCUUCACCAGCCGGCAACCGGCGCACGGGUGAGUAACACGUAUGCAACCUGCCUGCCACAGCCGGAUAAUCGGGAGAAAUCCCGUCUAAUACGGCAUAAUGCAUCGACGGGACAUCCUGUUGGUGCCAAAGGUUAAUUCCGGUGGCGGAUGGGCAUGCGUCGCAUUAGUUAGUUGGCGGUGUAACGGACCACCAAGACGACGAUGCGUAGGGGUUCUGAGAGGAAGGUCCCCCACACUGGUACUGAGACACGGACCAGACUCCUACGGGAGGCAGCAGUGAGGAAUAUUGGUCAAUGGGCGGGAGCCUGAACCAGCCAAGUCGCGUGAGGGAUGACGGCUCUAUGGGUUGUAAACCUCUUUUGCCGGGGAGCAAAGUGCCGCACGUGUGCGGUUUGGAGAGUACCCGGAGAAAAAGCAUCGGCUAACUCCGUGCCAGCAGCCGCGGUAAUACGGAGGAUGCGAGCGUUAUCCGGAUUUAUUGGGUUUAAAGGGUGCGUAGGCGGACGCUUAAGUCAGCGGUAAAAUUGCGGGGCUCAACCUCGUCGAGCCGUUGAAACUGGGUGCCUUGAGUGGGCGAGAAGUACGCGGAAUGCGUGGUGUAGCGGUGAAAUGCAUAGAUAUCACGCAGAACUCCGAUUGCGAAGGCAGCGUACCGGCGCCCAACUGACGCUGAAGCACGAAGGCGUGGGUAUCGAACAGGAUUAGAUACCCUGGUAGUCCACGCAGUAAACGAUGAAUGCUAGUUGUCCGGGGCGAUUGAGUUCUGGGUGACACAGCGAAAGCGUUAAGCAUUCCACCUGGGGAGUACGCCGGCAACGGUGAAACUCAAAGGAAUUGAC
rnacentral:rRNA from 1 species